GCUGCCCCCACCGCUGCCGCCACCGCCGCCGCCGCUGCCGCUGCCGCUGCCGCCACCGCCUGUGCCCGGGCCCGACCCGUCGGGCGCCCCACAGCUGCGCUGGUGCGCGCUCAGGCUGACUUGCAGCUGGAAGCUCUUCCCACACGUGGCGCAGAGAGAAGCCACAGUUUCCUAAGCUGGGGAGGAGGUAUAUCCUUCAAGAGAUCGGCUUAUUAGAAUAGACCACUUAACACCAUAUGAAAAAGCAACAGACUGAAACAUGGAUGUCCUCAAGAAGGGCUGCUGACACCUAUGAUUUGGCAAGGAGAUAAAUAACAGAAUGUGCAAAGGGUCGUAAGAGUGCAGACACCCUAAUGUCUGUUGGCUGGAAGGUCAGAGCAGUUCACCAGUGAAAAUGGGACGCCUGGACCGAGCAGUUCCGCUCCUGGAUCUACACCUAGAGAAGCUUUUACAUAUGCAUAAGAAUGUUCACACCAGCAAAAAAAAAGAAAAGAAGAGAGACAACACAAGCACCCACCAACAGUAGAAGGAAUAAAUACAUUGUAUUAUGGUCACAAAAUACAAAACUGUAAAGUGGUGAAAAUCAUGAAAAUGAAUGAGCUACAGCUAUACUACAUUAACAUGGAUGGCUCUCAAAAACAUAACGGCAAAUGAGAAAAGCAGGUUAAGGAAGAACAUAUGUGGUAUGAUUCCAUUUACAAAAAGUUCCAAAGCAGAUAAAACUAAAUGUGUUACUUAGGAUACAUACUGAGGGAAUAAAAAUGUAAAGAAAGGCAAGGGACUCUAUUUCUGAAUUUUCAGUUUAUGUAUACUAUAAGAGGAAGGAAGGGGUGUGAUCAGGGGAGGACGGGGGUCCAGGAGGUUCAAGCUGUGGUCUCUCUCAUGCUGGGUGUUGGGAAUAUGGGGUUUACUACUAAUCUCUAAAUGUCACACGAAUUUUGUUCUGUAUGUAUUUUGUUAUGUAUAAUACACAGUAACAAUGUUGUAAAACAGGGGUCCCCAUGCCCUGGGGAACCUAGACUGCACAGCAGGGGGUGGGUGGAAGCAAGUGAAGCUUCAUCUGUAAUUACAGCCACUCCCUGUCGCUGGCAUUAUUGACUGAGCUACGCCUCCUGCCAGAUCAGUGGUGGCAUUAGAGUCUCACAGCAGCGCGAACCCUAUUGUGAACUGUGCAUGCGAGGGGUCUGGGUCACACUCCCUUCUUAUGAGAUAGAACAGUUUCAUCCCCAAACCAUCCUCCCGGUCCCCCAUUGGUGGAAAAAUUGUCUUCCAUGAAACUGGUCCCUGGUGCCAAAAAGGUUCCGGACUGCUAUUUUAAAAGAAACAAAACACAAUAUUUUUAAAAAGGAGAAAAACAGCAUUUGAUACAAUAUAACACUUGUUCACAAUAAAAACUUUUGGGUAGCAUGGUUAGAAGGAAAUGUCUUUAACAGUAUUUUCAAAAGCCAAAGGCAAAAAUCAUACUUAAGGCUGAAACUCUAGAAAUAUAUCUUGUCCACAGGCAGGAUGCCACUAUCACUGCUGCUAUUCAACGAUGUCCUAGUCAAACUGCUAAAUAAGAAAAAUAAAGUCAUAAAAAGUUAAAAAACAGACACAAUCUUUGUGUGAUUUGUAGAGGAUAUAAUUAUCUACAUAAAAAAUCCAAGAGAAUAUAAAGAAACAAACCAUUAGACAUGAGAGCAAGAUUUUUUUUAAUAAACAAAAGUCAACAGCAUACCUAUACACCUGAAAUAACUAAUACAUCUAAUAAACUGUAAAAAUCCCAUUUAUAAUGAAAAACAACUAUCAGAAGAAAACUGUAAAAUCUUAUUCAAGCACAUAGAAGCCUUCAAUAAAUGAGUGUUCCAAUGAGUAGAAAGGCUAAUGUUGUCAUGAGAGCAAUUCUCCAGAAAUUAGACUGUAAAGUCAAUGCAAUUCCAAUCAAAUUUCCAACAGGAUUUUCUUAGGAACUUGACAUACAGAUCCCAAAAUUCAUAUAAAAGAACAAAGAUCCAAGAAUAGCCAAGACAAUUUUUUGAAGAACAAGCAGAGAAGGAUUAGUCUACUAGAUAUCAAGGCUUAUUAUGAAGCUAAAAGAGCAAGCUGUUGGUGCAGAGACUGACAAAGAGACCAGUGACACAGAAGCAAGCACCCAGAAACAGACUUGUGCACAUGCAGAAACCAGCUCAGGACAGAAUCGCAUCACAAAUCAGUGGAGAAAAGCUAACACAUUCAGCAAACUUUGUUGGAAAAUCAGACCAUCGUUGUGGGAGAAAAAACCGAAACCCUCCCUUGCAAGCUACACAAAUUUUAAUUCGAGAUAAAUUAAAGACUUAAAUUUGAAAAGCAAAACUUUAAAAAAUUUAUAAAAAAAAUAGAGAAGAGUAUCUUUCUGACCUUGAGUGAGGUAAGCAAGGAUAUCUCACUACAGAAAAAGCAUAGAUCAUAAAGGAAAAGACUGACAUGUUUGACUCUUUCAACAGUGAAAACUUCCAUACAAGAACUACAAUGUUAAAGACCUGCCACCGACACGGAGAAAAUGUUUGUAAUGCAAAUAAUAGACAAAGGAUUUGUAUCUAGAACACAUACAAAGAAGCCCUGAAUCAAGAAGAAAAUGAAGAAUAUCUCAAUAGAAAAACAGAAGACAACUCACUGGAGAAGCAGCCAAAUAAUCGUAUGAAAAGGGCAUGCAACUUCACUAACAGUAGGGAAAAUACAAAUUGAAACGAGAGGCCAUCUCACCCCCAUCAGGUCGGCAAAAAUGUAAUUAUGGAAACUGGGCAGACGUUAGGAAGCAAGUUCUAGGAGCACCCGCUGGCACUGGGUACCCCUGGGGAGGGCCAUACAGUAACGGAAGAGAUGAAAUCAAGCCUACGACGUGGUGAGGCCACCGCUGGGUCUACUCCCUGGAGCAGCAUCCCCACAGGGCCACAAAAAAACAGGCGCAAGAACGCUCACUACAGUAUUGCUUGUGAGAGUGAACAAUCAGAAAAAGCUUAAGUGCCAAUCAGUGGAAGAAUGGAAAAUAAAUUACAAUAUAGUUGCUUCUGGAAUAUUAAGCAUCUGUUAAAAGAAAUGAACUUGAUCUACAUGUAUCAACACGGAUAGGUCUGAAAUACAGAAUAAUGAGUGAUAAAUAUAAUGACAUCUAUGUAAUUUUUCAGAACACAAAAAACCGUAUUAUAUAUUGUUUACAGCUACCAAAGUACACAGCAGACAUUUUAAAAUGUGGAUAGAAAGAAUAAACAGAAAAUUCCUAGGGAGGCCUGGGAGACCUAAAAAGGGAUUUAAAUGCUAUCAGAAAUACAUUAUUUCACACACACACACACACACACGUUUUAAAUUUUGAAACAGCAUACAUUCAGCAAAUAGUUAUUGAAUUCCUACUCUGUACUAGGCAAUACUCUAGGUUCCUAAAAUGAUUAAACAGGUAAAAAUUUUUAUACUUUUGAAAUUGACAUUCUAAUG